rnacentral:lncRNA from 1 species
GUGAAGUCUGAAUGGAUGUUUGGUGCUGAACUCUGAGCAGGGAGAUAUUGCAGGUUUGCCACCAGUGCUUUGGUUAGGGAUGUGGACAGCAAGUCUGAAAAGGUUUCUCAUUUUGUGCUCCUCAGUCAGGCAUGAGCUUGUAGAGUGUGGAGUGGUCACGUGUUGCAGAGCACUGUCUCUCUGGGCUAUGAAGAGGCUUUUAUGUGGAAGGCUUGAGAGCUACUGCUGUGCCCCUCAGGUGUGACAGAUACCUGGACCCUGGAGGAAGUGUGAACCAGGAACACUUUUUUCAUGUGGGGAAACGAGUACCAAUGCCCACAGAUGCUUCUACAAAGUGAUUUCAACUUCAAUAAAUAGAAAUGAGAUGUUGGCUUUCUGUGACCA